GCCGUAGUGGCCGAGUGGUUAAGGCGGCAGAUUUAAGCAUACUUCCAACCAAGUCUUUUAAACUCUGCUACAGUAAUGUGCAUGCGUUCGAACCGCAUCUACGGCA
rfam:Macrophomina phaseolina MS6 contig00163, whole genome shotgun sequence.